rfam:Vigna radiata var. radiata cultivar VC1973A scaffold_213, whole genome shotgun sequence
AUCUGAUGGUGGGGACAGCUUGCACGCAGUGUCUUGAAUCUCUCCCAAUACUCAUACAAGCUUUCUCCACCAAGCUGCCUAAUCCCAGUGAUGUCUUUCCUGAUAGCU